AGUAACGGCGAGUGAAGCGGGAUGAGCUCAAAUUUAAAAUCUGGCUGGUUUGCUAGUCCGAAUUGUAGUUUAUAGAAGCGUUUUCGGUGGCAGCCUGGGUAUAAAUCCUUUGGAAUAGGGUAUCAUAGAGGGUGAGAAUCCCGUCUUUGACUCAGUGCAUGCUACUAUGUGAUACGUUUUCAAAGAGUCGAGUUGUUUGGGA
rnacentral:rRNA from 1 species